rnacentral:rRNA from 1 species
AACGAACGCUGGCGGCAUGCCUAACACAUGCAAGUCGAACGAGACCUUCGGGUCUAGUGGCGCACGUGUGCGUAACGCGUGGGAAGCUGCCCUUAGGUUCGGAAUCACUCCCCGAAAGGGGUGCUAAUGCAGGAUAAUGUCUUCGGACCAAAGAUUUCUCGCCUUUGGAUGGGCCCGCGUUGGAUUCGCUAGUUGGUAGGGUAAAAGCCUGCCAAGGCGACGAUCCAUAGCUGGUCUGAGAGGAUGCUCAGCUACACUGGGACUGAGACACGGCCCAGACUCGGACGGGGAGCAGCAGAGGGGAAUAUUGUACAAUGGGCGAUAGCCUGAUCCAGCAAUGCCGCGUGAGUGAGGAAGGCCUUAGGGUUGUAAAGCUCCUUUACCCGGGAUGAUAAUGACAGUACCGGGAGAAGAAGCUCCGGCUAACUCCGUG